CCAAUAGCGUAUAUUAAAGUUGUUGCAGUUAAAAAGCUCGUAGUUGAAUUUCGGGGUCAGUAGGUCGGUCGUGCCACUGGUAUGAACUGGUUUUACUGAUUCCUCCCUCUUGAAGAACUGUAAUGCCAUUAAUUUGGUGUUGCAGGGAAUCAGGACUGUUACUUUGAAAAAAUUAGAGUGUUUAAAGCAGGCUUUAGCUUGAAUACAUUAGCAUGGAAUAAUGAAAUAGGACGUUUGAUCCUAUUUUGUUGGUUUCUAGGAUUGACGUAAUGAUUAAUAGGGAUAGUUGGGGGCAUUAGUAUUCAAUUGUCAGAGGUGAAAUUCUUGGAUUUAUUGAAGACUAACUACUGCGAAAGCAUUUGCCAAGGAUGUUUUCAUUAAUCAAGAACGAAAGUUAGGGGAUCGAAGACGAUCAGAUACCGUCGUAGUCUUAACCAUAAACUAUGCCGACUAGGGAUCGGAUGAUGUUAAUUUUUUAAUGACUCAUUCGGCGCCUUAC
rnacentral:rRNA from 1 species